rnacentral:rRNA from 1 species
AGCAGCCGCGGUAAUUCCAGCUCCAAUAGCGUAUAUUAAAGUUGUUGCAGUUAAAAGCUCGUAGUUGAAUUUCAGGCCUGGCUGGACGGUCCGCCUUUGGGUGAGUACUGUCUGUGGUCGGGUCCUACCUUCUGGCGAAGCGUCAUGGCCUUAACCGGCCGUGGCGGGGAACCAGGACUUUACUGUGAAAAAUUAGAGUGUUCAAAGCAGGCAGUCGCUUGGAUACAUUAGCAUGGAAUAAUGGAAUAGGACAAUGGUUCUAUUUGUUGGCUUCUAGGACCGUUGUAAUGAUUAAUAGGGAUAGUUGGGGGCAUUAGUAUUCAAUUGUCAGAGGUGAAAUUCUUGGAUUUAUUGAAGACUAACUACUGCGAAAGCAUUUGCCAAGGAUGUUUUCAUUAAUCAAGAACGAAAGUUAGGGAUCGAAGACGAUCAGAUACCGUCGUAGUCUUA